AUGGCGUCCCCUGUCUUCUCUGCAGCAGGCAGGCACGCAAAGAAAGAUAAAUCCCCCCUCAUUCAGAACCAAACGCACAAGAAUCAAUCACCGCGCGCGUACAUACCCAUGGGGGAGAGCCUCGUCCUGAUGACGGAGAGCAGGACGAGGGACGCGAGCAUGAAGGCGAUGAGCGACGCAUUCCCCAGCCGCCGCCCGUCCCCUCUCGACAGGUUCCUGGUAGACUUCAUGGCCUGCCUCUGUCUCUCUCUCCCUCCCUCUCUCUCUCUCUCUCUCUCUCUCUCUGUGGGUGCCCGCUACCGGCAAUCUUUGUCUAGCAGGAAUGGUUCUCGAGGGGGGCGUGGAGCUUUAUACCGGCGGUGGCGGACGGAACAGAACUAA
rnacentral:rRNA from 1 species